rnacentral:rRNA from 1 species
CCUACGGGGGGCAGCAGUGAGGAAUAUUGGUCAAUGGACGAGAGUCUGAACCAGCCAAGUAGCGUGAAGGAUGACUGCCCUAUGGGUUGUAAACUUCUUUUAUAUGGGAAUAAAACGUUCCACGUGUGGGAUUUUGUAUGUACCAUAUGAAUAAGGAUCGGCUAACUCCGUGCCAGCAGCCGCGGUAAUACGGAGGAUCCGAGCGUUAUCCGGAUUUAUUGGGUUUAAAGGGAGCGUAGGUGGAUUGUUAAGUCAGUUGUGAAAGUUUGCGGCGCAACCGUAAAAUUGCAGUGGAAACUGGCAGUCUUGAGUACAGUAGAGGUGGGCGGAAUUCGUGGUGUAGCGGUGAAAUGCUUAGAUAUCACGAAGAACUCCGAUUGCGAAGGCAGUUCACUGGACUGCAACUGACACUGAGGCUCGAAAGUGUGGGUAUCAAACAGGAUUAGAUACCCCUGUAGUC